UUUUUAGUAGAGACAGGGUUUCUCCAUGUUGGCCAGUCUGGUCUCGAGCUCCUGACCUUGGGUGAUCCACCCGCCUCGGCCUCCCAAAGUGCUGGGAUUACAGGCGUGAGCCACUGUGCCUGGCCCUGGGUUGAUUUUGAUGCUUAGCUAGGUUUGGGAUCCAUUGGAUUAUUUAACACCCGAGGUGCCUUUUGUUUUUAAUGAUAUUCUCUCAACGUGUUUUAAAAAUGAAGCCCAUGAGAUAGUUAUGAGAUAGUAGAACUUUUCCCUACAUUGGUGAAGUAAAAAUCUUGGGAUUUUGAUAGCCAGAUUAUCUUAGGCAUUAAAAAAUAUCACACCGACGCCCUCUCUUUUUAUAGGGAUUCGCAGAGGCAUUUUUGGAACAUCUUUGGAAAAAAUUGCAGGAUCCAAGUAAUCCCGCCAUCAUCAGGCAGGCUGCUGGAAAUUAUAUUGGAAGCUUUUUGGCAAGAGCUAAAUUUAUUCCUCUUACUACUGUAAAAUCAUGCCCAGAUCUUUUGGUUAACUGGCUGCACAUAUACCUUAAUAACCAGGAUUCGGGAACAAAGGCAUUCUGCGAUGUUGCUCUCCAUGGACCAUUUUACUCAGCCUGCCAAGCUGUGUUCUACACCUUUGUUUUUAGACACAAGCAGCUUUUGAGCGGAAACCUGAAAGAAGUAAGUACCAGCUCGUCUUCUGCUACACCAUCAUCGAGAGGAACAAUUGCCAGAUGCUGCCAGUCAUUAGGAGUACCACUGGAGGAGACUCAGUGCAGACCUGCACAAACCCACUGGACACCUUCUUCCCCUUUGAUCCCUGUGUGCUGAAGAGGUGAGGUCUGUGCAGACCCUGGGUGAGGGGCGAGUUGGCUAUGGCCUGUUUAACUCCACCUGUGCAGACUGCAGCUCAGCCUGGUCCAUGCUUCGUGACUCAGCCUUGUCCUCAGGGAAGCUGGGGCUGGUGCAACUUUCAGAAGUGGUCCCAGGUAAGCCUGGCCCUCCUGAGUCCAUGGGUGGGGAAUGCUGGUACAGGCCUAGCAGCUGGCUUUCCGGGGCUGGGUGGAGGUACAAGAGCGGUGAUGUGUGGUGUUCGCCACUUUCCAUGGUGCAAAUACCCCUGCAUGGCCGAGUUCAAGUUUUGAAGGUGCAGUCACCAAUAGUGGAGUUGGGAAGAGAUUUGCACAGUCAGCUCCAGAGCCAGCAUGCGCCAUCUCCCACCCGUCGCUGCCCCCUGCCUUCCUCCCUCUUGUCCCUGCAGCCUGGGAUCUCACUGCUGCUUUCCAAGUGAGGAAUUCCAGUAAGCCUUCUUAAGACUUCUUUUUGGUUUACCUGGCAGAACCCCACCUCAAACUGGCUUAAGCAAAGAAGAGGGAGAUUUGCCAGCUCCGAUCCUAAAGAGUCAGGGCUGCAACCGGGUGCAGGGGUUGUCGACUGCCAGGGCUCUGAGUGCUCCCCCAGGCUCUGCUUUCCCCAGGGGACACUCAUGGGGGUUCCCUGAUGGGGCAAUGGUGGCCACCCGAGGCUGUGGCUUGGCCUCCAGUGGAGCGACGUCACCUCUUUCCCGGCAGUUCCAGCCACCAUCCCAGGGCUGAUUCUCAGGGGCCCGGCUUUGGCUGCUCGUCUGGCCAGCCCGAGGGUGACCCCGCCUGGAGCAAGGUGUGCUUGGAGAGUGGGAGGCAGCACUCCCGCAGGACAGCCGAGGACGCUGUUCCCAGAGUGAGGAUGGGGAGCCCUCCUCACUGGACGUGCGUCCUGGCCAUGGACCCCGAGCUGACCUCGGCCCCUCCCUGACUCGGUUGCUCUCAGGUCCAAGGCCACUGCUGCUGUCUCUGUCUCCCAGUGUCAGCCUCUGACCUUGUCCCAACCCCACUUUUGGCUUCCCCACCGGCUUCACAUCUGCUCAAAGGAUCUAGGCCCUCCCUGCCACAGACUGAAAGAAGGAUCCGGUGUCUCUCCCGGGCCAUGGAAAUGAGCUGGGUCAUCCCUCCCUUGGCUCCCAUCCACGUGGGCCAGUCUGGUUUCACUUUUUUUGUCAUUUUCUCCAAAACCCAGUUUCCUUUUUAUUUCUCUCCUACUCAGCUUCACUUGCUCCUGGUCCCCUCCCCGUCUCUGCAGCCAAUUUUUCCAGGUUCUCAGUCCUCUCCCUCACAGAUUUUCUGUCCUCUUUGUUCACCCAGAUUGGGAAUCUGGAGCUGCUGGUGAUGGAGGGAAUGAGAACCUCAGAUGAAGGACAGGUAGGGCUAGAGAAAGGUUUUCAGAGAGAAACAGAGAAAAAUGAGAUGAAAACACAGCAAACCCUGGAUGGAAGGAGGGGCAGUGCCCAUAAGACGAAGGGAAGGGAGCAGACAAGGUGCAGAGAACUGCACACAGACAGGCUCCCGAGGCCUGGGCCACACCGUGGCAGGGCCAGAAACAAAGCGAAACAAACAGAAAGGCCAAGGAAAUUUCCGUUGGUGGGGACACUGCCAGCAGUUUUCCUAGGAGCUGGGGGUGCCAGCACUUGGAGCAAGCACGGGCCAAGGACGAUGAGUAACAGAGGUGGCAGCAAGGGCUCUUUCCAGGGAGUGUGUAUGGCCUUGAAGGCCAAGGAAGAAAGGCUGGGGGAGCAAAGCGGGGGGAGGAGGGAAGGGGGAGAGGAGAGGUGCCAGUCACAAAGGAAAACAGCAGCCAGAUCCACGCGCUGCCACACUGUGCCUGUCCCACCUCGAGUGCCCCUGCAGAUAGCUCAGCUCAUUCCCUAAAGGUGCGGGAGGGCCCAGCUCAUUGGGCAGGGCUGUAUGAAGCGCUUGGCACCAUUCCGGGAGAAUUAAGCAUUUAGUAAACAAUAGCUUCCUUCAAAAUAAAUCCAAACGAGGCCUGAGAGCCCGGAGUUGGGGGGUGCCUGCCAGGCUGUCCGCAUGAGAGGAGGAGGUUCUAGGGACCUCUUGGCUCCUCUAGUGGGGCACAAAUCGGCAGCUCCAAGAUGAGAGACGGGAAGAGUGAAUUCCUCGGAGGGGAAUCUUGGCACUGUUGGGACUGGCACUGUGGCUGUGCAGUUCAAGGACGACCCCUGGACUGAGAGGAAAGGAUGUGACCAUCACGCUUAUAUCCCGGGAAAGUGAUUUAUCAUUGCAAAUUCAUAAACUGGCAGUCUAGUUCCUAAAACGACUACAUGUGUGUGCAUGUGUGUGUGCAUGUGUGUGUGUUCAUGUGCGUGUGUGUGCAUGUGUGCACAUAUGCACUGUGUAUACAUGUGUGCAUGUGUGUUCAUGUGUGUGUGCAUGUGUUCGUGUAUGUGUUCGUGUGCGGGUAUGCAUGUGUGCACUGCAUGAGCAUGUGUGUAUACGUAUGUGCACGUGUGUUCGUGUGCAUGUGUGCACAUGUGUGUGCACGUGUGUUGUGUGCAUGUGUGCACACAUGUGUGUUUCCAUCUCCAUUCUGUAUGUAGCUCCUGUUUCUUCCCUCAGGCCUGGGUGUGAAUAUUUUUGGGGAAGUUAGGUAGAAGUCAGUGUCGCCUCUCUCUCUACAGAUGUUUUCUCUGCUUUCUGGUCCUCAAGACUGAAAAAUGAAAAUGUACCAAACAGCUUUCAAAGUUUACCUGUUAGAGAUUCAGCCACUGGGGAGCCACUGUUCCUGUUCUUGCUCACUUCAGAUUCUAAAUUCCCAGAGCAGUGACUCUGAUUGGCCCAGCCCUGCACUAAUUAGGAGCGGGACUGAGGAAGGGGCUCUGAUUGGUCCAGCAUGGUUUGAGUGCCCAUCCCUGUCCAAUCAAUCGUGACCAGGGGUGGGAUCAUGUUGGACAAAAUGUCAGGCGGUGGAGUCACUGUUGUUAUCAUUUGGAUCCAAAAGCCCA
rnacentral:lncRNA from 1 species